GAAAUAAUUAGAACUUCCUCCAAUACCAUCGUGCAAAAUUAGUUAACCAGCAAAGCAUGCUCUAGUAUGCCAGCCCUUUGCUGAGGUUUGCAGGCAGGGCUGAACAACCCCAACCAGCGGGAAAACUGGAUAUGAAAAAACUAUCACCAUUAACAUACUCAUCCGCAUCCUAUUAUAAACUUUAUUAUCCCCGAAUUCAUCAGAUAUAUGAAAACAUUGCAAUUACGAAGACACUAAAACCAUAAUAGUUCAUAUAUAAAAAACAAUACUCUCGCCUGUCCAAUAAGUGCAUUCGCGCAAUACAGUUGAACCGAUGCCUACACCCAGAAGUAUCCUACGAGAAGACAAAAAGCAGAAAUAAAUCAUCCAUCAGUAGCUUCACAACCCGUGAUUAAUCAAACACCUAGAAAUGUACACAAGCUAAGCCCAUAAACACAAAACCCAAGACAGCAUCAUAUAAUCCCCUUGAACUAAAGCAAUGUAAAACUAGGAAGGAUGCCAUCUAAUCCUUGGAGGAUUUGUUGAUGAGAGACUUGUGUAUGUGAGGGAUUACUCCACCACCGGCUAUGGUUCCUUUUAUGAGAGUGUCAAGUUCUUCAUCACCACGUAUGGCCAGCUGCAAAUGCCUCGGGGUGAUACGUUUUACCUUCAAAUCCUUGCUCGCAUUACCAGCCAACUCCAAUACUUCAGCAGUUAGGUACUCUAAAAUAGCAGCAGAAUAGACAGCAGCCGUCGCACCCACUCUUCCAUGAGCAGUAACUCUCGACUUCAGGAGUCGAUGGAUGCGGCCCACAGGGAACUGCAGGAAAACAGUAAUUAGU
rnacentral:lncRNA from 1 species